CGUGGACAGCUCAGGAGUCACACUGGGGAAAACAUGGAGCACCAGAUCUUAGAGCGUUAUCUAUCUGCCCUUCCAUCUGGAUUCUGUGCCUGAAGUUCAAAGUCUCAGUGCAGGACGCAAUAUUCAGCUUAAUCAAUUCUGCCAUCUAGUGGACAGUUUCCACUCCCGCUAUCCGUCCUUUCAGAUUUUCUCUGAUGUAAUUGAGGGGCAGAAAGGAGCAGUUCCUGGGGCCUUACCUCCAGACUCAGGCAGUAGGAGCCGUGCUGGGCCGUGUGGCUUCAGAUCAACAGAGAGAGCAGCAGGCGCAGGACCACCUGUUAAGUGAAAACCCAAAAAUCUUCAAAGACCUUCCCGAGCCAAAAUCCUGUGAUGAAAAUCCCCCUGGGUUUCAACUAUGUUUGAAGGCAGCCCCUUGUUAACUCUGCCCCUCCCUCCGAGAGCUGAGUAUGUCUGCCCCCACCCCAGGCUCUAAGCUGAUUUUUUUUUUUUUUGAAGAAAAAGAAAGGUUAUUUGUGCUCCUGUAGACAUACAGGAAAGACAUAAUAUCUAGUGUAACUUCACUGUCUCCUCAAACUCUGAUACUAAUAAACCACCUUGUACUUUAGCAAUAA